rnacentral:rRNA from 1 species
UACGAAGGUGGCAAGCGUUACUCGGAAUUACUAGGCGUAAAGGGCAGGUAGGUGGUCUGAUAAGUCUGUUGUGAAAGCUCCCGGCUUAACUGGGAGAGGUCAACAGAAACUAUCAGGCUUGAGUAUAGGAGAGGGUACUGGAAUUCCCGGUGUAGCGGUGAAAUGCGCAGAUAUCGGGAGGAACACCAAUGGCGAAAGCAGGUACCUGGACUAGUACUGACGCUCAGCUGCGAAAGCUAGGGGAGCAAACAGG